AAGAAAAUUUAUAUUUUCAAAAAGAAAUUAAAAGAACGGCAAUAAAAAAAGCUUUGACAAUGUCCUUUAAUCCAAAUUAUACAACAAUGAAUCUCCCUUUGAAAAUUUUUGUCAAAGAAAGUAAUAAUAUUGAAGAAUUACCUGCUAAGAAGGUCGUCAGCAAACUUGGAUUUCAAGGUUUAGAGGCAAAAAACGCCUACGAAGAAGCUAUCAACUUUUCUAAUGAAAAAUCUCAAACAAAUAAUCAAAAAAAGAAAAAUUUUCCAAAGAAGAAGAAAAUGGUUAAAAAUAUAAAUAGUCAAAUAAAUACAAAAGUAACUGUGAAUUCAAUUUUCAAAGCAAUCGAGAAUAACGAUCUUACAUUUUUAAAAACAAAUUUGCACCCAGAUAAUAUAAAUACAGUGGAUGAAUUUGGUUGGACUCCGUUAAUGUCUGCAGCUUACAGUGGAAAUUCCGAAAUUGUUGCUUUUUUCCUCAAACUUAAAGCAAAAAGAAACAUCAAGGAUAAAUCGGGAUUAACGGCAAUGAAUUUAGCUUUGAAAAAUAAAUUCACAAACAUUGUUAAACUCUUGGAAAGUAAUGAGAAGCACAAAAUUGCAACAAAAAUAAAUGAAAAGAAAAUAGAAAAAAUAAAUUUUUUCUGCAACGUCUGUAAUUCAAAUUUUGAGAAUAUUACACAGACUGAGCAUGAAACUUCGAUUGUGCAUAUUUUUAACACAAAGCCAAAAGUAUCAGGAGCUCACUACAUUGUUCCAAAGGGAAAUAAAGGCUACCAGAUGCUUAUAAAUUCAGGAUGGGACGAGGAACAUGGUCUAGGACCUUCAGGAGAGGGUCGUAAAUACCCCGUGAAAACAACUCUGAAACAAGACAGAAAAGGUUUUGGACUCGACGAAAAAAAAACACCACAAGUCACUCAUUUCAAGCCCAACGAUCGUCGGGCUAUCAAAACAACUCGUGCACCAAGUGAACGAAAAUUAAAAAAAUGGGAACGUGAUCGUCAUCUUCGUCGGGAAGCACAGAGGGAAAAAUAUCUCCGAAAAGCCUUGUCAUAAAAAAUUUCCAUUGAAACACGAAACAAGUAUUGAAUAUAAGUUUUCGUUCAAAGAUAAUGGAUGAAAAUCAAAAGGAUUUAUUGAAACAUUUGCAACAAGUGGAAAGCAAAGCUGGAGAAAUUCUAACUGACAGACAAGAAAUUGUUGCACUGGACAUGAGGAGAAAUGACGAUCGUGUUGGAAUGCGAGCU